AAAAUAACUAUGAUUCCCUCAGUAACGGCGAGUGAAGCGGGAAAAGCUCAUUCUGUGAAUCUACAUACUAAUCUUGGUAUGUCGAGUUGUUUCAUAUAGAGCCACAUCAGUGCGAGUUCUGAUCUAAGUCUCUUGGAAAAGAGCAGCUAAGAGGGUGACACUCCCGUUCUUGGUUGGAACUCAAACUUUAGCAUGUGGUUUCGACGAGUCGAGUUGCUUGGGAUUGCAGCUCAAAGUUGGUGGUAAAUCCCAUCUAAAGCUAAAUAUCGGUGGGAGACCGAUAGCGUACAAGUACCGUGAGGGAAAGAUGCAAAGAACUUUGAAAAAAGAGUUAAAGAGUACCUGAAAUUGCUGAAAUGGAAGCGAAGGAAACCAGUGCCGUGCUUUAUCAUUUUUCUGUUCUUGCUUGCGAGAAUAGCGCUGUGAUAUUGCAUAGGCCAGCAUGGGUUUGAACCGAAGGAAGCAGCCGUUCAGGAGACAGCACAAUUUCUGUGUGAUUACUGUUCGGUUAUGCUUCGGUUCAGACCGAGGCUAGUCACUUGUGCUCGUGAUGCUGGCGAAAUGGUUUUCUUUACCC
rnacentral:rRNA from 1 species